GCCAUCGUGGUGUAAUGGUCAGCACACUCGGCGCGUAUUCGAGAAGUCCGAGGUUCAAGUCCCGGCGAGGGCA
rnacentral:tRNA from 1 species